rnacentral:rRNA from 1 species
AUUGAACGCUGGCGGCGUGCUUAACACAUGCAAGUCGAGCGGUAACAGGCGUAGCAAUACGUGCUGACGAGCGGCGAACGGGUGCGUAAUACAUGGGAAUCUGCCCUUUAGUGGGGAAUAACCCGGCGAAAGCCGGGCUAAUGCCGCAUGAGAUCUUCGGAUGAAAGCGGGGAUCGUAAGACCUCGCGCUGAUGGAUGAGCCCAUGUCGGAUUAGCAGUUGGUGAGGUAACGGCUCACCAAGGCGACGAUCCGUAGCUGGUCUGAGAGGACGGCCAGCCACACUGGGACUGAGACACGGCCCAGACUCCUACGGGAGGCAGCAGUGGGGAAUCUUGCGCAAUGGGCGAAAGCCUGACGCAGCGACGCCGCGUGAGGGAUGACGGCC